UCAGUUUGUGACCAGGCGUGAGAGCACGAGGGCUCCUUUUUCAUAUUGCCGCCAGUUUUUGCUCAGUGUUGUACCUGUUUCCGCUUAUUUACACACAAAAUUUAUAAUACCAUAAUAAUUAUGUCAAAUGCAUAAUAUCUGAGGGUAAAAAACGGUCACCGGUGCUGUUCAAUAUUCUUGUAUAAGCCGGCGCCAUUUCUAAAACUGAUGUCGCCCUAUACGAUUGAACGGCUAAAUUGCCUUUCAUACUAUUAUUGUUGUAACAAAAAUUUGAUGCCUUACAUUAAACAUAUACUGAAAACAAUAAAUAGUUUGAAUAAUUUCAAGAGACAGAAGGACAUCAACUCAAAGCUUCGUCCUGAUAAGGGCAGUUAGAAAAGGCUGCCUUAUGGAUGUAACGUGCAUUUACAUUAUAUAUUUUCAUAUCGUUGCAAAAUGUACCAUAAAUUUGACAGGAAAUGUGCAAAGGAGACACCUCAUUCAGUUUAAAUUAUAGUGAUAAGUAUCAUUAUCUAUGUAUGUCGUUCAGUAUCCAUGUCUGUCUCGUUGUUUGAAUGUUACUGUGUAAAAUGUAUAUUAAAUAACGCACACAAUUGAAA